CCUACGGGGGGCUGCAGUGGGGAAUAUUGGACAAUGGGUGAAAGCCUGAUCCAGCCAUGCCGCGUGUGUGAAGAAGGCCUUCGGGUUGUAAAGCACUUUCAGUGGGGAAGAAAGCCUUGGGGCUAAUACCCUCGAGGAAGGACAUCACCCACAGAAGAAGCACCGGCUAACUCCGUGCCAGCAGCCGCGGUAAUACGGAGGGUGCGAGCGUUAAUCGGAAUUACUGGGCGUAAAGCGCGCGUAGGCGGUCUGAUAAGCCGGUUGUGAAAGCCCCGGGCUCAACCUGGGAACGGCAUCCGGAACUGUCAGGCUAGAGUGCAGGAGAGGAAGGUAGAAUUCCCGGUGUAGCGGUGAAAUGCGUAGAGAUCGGGAGGAAUACCAGUGGCGAAGGCGGCCUUCUGGACUGACACUGACGCUGAGGUGCGAAAGCGUGGGUAGCAAACAGGAUUAGAUACCCUUGUAGUC
rnacentral:rRNA from 1 species